AAACAAAGAACAGGGAUUUAUUAGCUUAGACCAACGACGCUGUGGUACUGAAAGGUAUGUAAGCCUACCUAACCGAUGAGACUGACUGACGCUGCGUCUUUUCCAAAUGUCUCCGUUUGUCCCCGUCCAGACUACAAAGCAACCCUGGAGUUUUCAAACCAAAACGGGGGCAGCAGUGUUUCCCAAUGUCUCCGUUUUAGGGGCUCGAUACUCCAGAUUAGUGUGGACGCGAGGCGUAAACUUAACAAAAG